rnacentral:tRNA from 1 species
UGAACUUUAAGUUAUCGUAAACUAAAGACCUUCAAAGUCUUAAAAAGGGGAUCCCUAAGUUU